UUUAAGUUAUUAAAUCUAAGUAUAAAAGCAAAAAAAAGGAAAGAAAAUAAACCUUAAAACAAAUUGCAACCGCAGCAGCCCCACUUCUCCUCUUCUCUCACCUUCUUCAAUCUUCACGCCACAAAGCCCAAAUUCGUCAUCAUCAUCCUCAAUAUUCAAUUCAUCAUGCCGUUGUUCGUCUUCAUCAAUUCAUCAUGCCGUUGUUCGUCUUCAUCAAUUCAUCGCGCCGCCGCUCGUCUUCAUCAAUUCGUUGCAUCGCCGUCCAUGAUCCACCAUCGUCUUCAUCGCCUCACCAUUCAUCUUGAUUACAUAAUUAACAUACAUGCUUCUUGGGAAUUAACAGUGCUCUGAGGUGAUAUUAACAUAUGUGGGUCAGCUUUUAUCUCUAAAUCAUAAUUCAUUUCAAUUCAUUUAUCUUCAAGUUGACUCGAUUGUAAGGAAUCUAUAUUCAUCGGUGCUUGCGAUUUGAGCUCCUUUUGGAAUUUUCAUAUCCUGAAAGAGGUUUGUGUUUUUCAGUUCAUUCAGUUAUUCGAGUUUUAAACCCAGCAUCCGGAAAUCCAGAUUUCUCCGGGUUGAACCCGCACUGGACCCGGAU
rnacentral:lncRNA from 1 species